rnacentral:rRNA from 1 species
GACGAACGCUGGCGGCGUGCUUAACACAUGCAAGUCGAACGGAAAGGCCUCUUUCGGGGGGUACUCGAGUGGCGAACGGGUGAGUAACACGUGAGUAACCUGCCCUUGACUUUGGGAUAACUUCAGGAAACUGGGGCUAAUACCGGAUAGGAGCUCCUGCUGCAUGGUGGGGGUUGGAAAGUUUCGGCGGUUGGGGAUGGACUCGCGGCUUAUCAGCUUGUUGGUGGGGUAGUGGCUUACCAAGGCUUUGACGGGUAGCCGGCCUGAGAGGGUGACCGGCCACAUUGGGACUGAGAUACGGCCCAGACUCCUACGGGAGGCAGCAGUGGGGAAUAUUGCACAAUGGGUGGAAGCCUGAUGCAGCAACGCCGUGUGCGGGAUGACGGCCUUCGGGUUGUAAACCGCUUUCGCCUGUGACGAAGCGUGAGUGACGGUAAUGGGUAAAGAAGCACCGGCUAACUACGUG